rnacentral:tRNA from 1 species
AAGGAGAAAAAAAUAUCCUGAAAUCAAAAAAAAAGUGUUGGGCUAUUAGCUCAGUUGGUUAGAGCGCACCCCUGAUAAGGGUGAGGACUCUGGUUCAAAUCCAGAAUAGCCCAACCCGGGGGUAUAGCUCAGUUGGUAGAGCACUGCUUUUGCACGGCAGUUGUCAGCGGUUCGAAUCCGCUUAUCUCCAAAAAAAAAAUAAUAAAGAAUAUUUAUUGA